GAAGGGACCGGCUCGAAUUCGUCUUCAUAUCUUGGGUCUAGCUCGGUGCGCGGCUCAGGCUUUGCUGUUUGCUAACCUGUGGGAACCUGGCCUCGAUAGGGAAGUAAGAGGUGGCCCUAGUCAAGACAGCUCAGGCCCAGUCAAGACAGCCAGGCCGCACCCCGACGCGGCCGGGAACUCGGUUCGAGGAGGGAUCUUUUGACUUGAGCCCAGAGGGGCUGGCAGCCGGCAGUGGCUGGGCUCCAAGAAAGCCCUGGGGGCUCCCACCCGGCCGAGAGGCCCGCCCCUAACCAGUCCCCGGCGGCCUCCGCCAUGGAGGAUCUAAGCAAGACCGCGUGUGGGCGGGAUGAGCCAGCCUGCACUCCUUAUUGGACAAAGGCCCUUGUCAAUCACUGAGGAAACCUGUCUGGACGCGACCGGACAUCCGGAAUUCCCACCUCAGAGGGAAGCGGGCUCGGGUGGAGGCGGGGAGCGAUGGGAGGAUGCGGUACCCAAUGGUAAUCAAGAGUUCCGCCUUCGCAGUAGAUUGGCAGAUGCUUGAACCACUGAGGCGCCGCUAAGGAUAUUGGCCGUGGAGAAUGAUUGGUCCCAUCUGCGGGUGCGUGGUUCUUCAGAGUAUAUAAAGUAGGCAAUUAACACUUGGUUGAAAUCGUACUGCAGACGGAGCUGUACUUUUGUUGGUGUUUUGACUUCCACUAAGGCUCCUGAAUUUGGACACAAAGAAGAGAUGGCCCUUUUCCUGCUCCUCGAUGUGAUAUCUGAACUCCUGCAGCCAUCUUGCAACCAUGAGGAGAGCUGGUCUGUGACAAAGCCCACAGUGCAAGGAAGACCAAGUUAAGAGAAAUGUAGCUUGGGCCCUGACCCUAAUGGACCUACAGGCAUUCUGCCUUUGGACUCCUCCCGUGCCCUAAUUCUCCUUUUGUUUAAGACAAUUGAGUUGGAGCUUUCAGUUCUUUGCAGUUGGAACAUCUUAGCUGAACCAAGUAUACGAAAGUUCCUUCAGUUUACUUUUCCCAUAGCCGUGAGAAUUUUGACUCACGUACCCACGAGUCAUUUCUGUUUGUUUGGUAUAAUCAGAGAAGAAGGACUGGAAGAAGGAGGUGAAGAAAGAGAUAUAAAGUGGCUACAGGGCAGUGCAAGUUCUGCUGACAUGCAUUUAGGGGGCAGGGAGAUAAAAAACAACCCAGGGGGGUCCUUGGGACCUGAGAGAGAGAACAAACAAUACUUAAAUCAAAACAUUUUUAAAAAGCAGUAACAAAAAAGAUAAAAAUAUUUUUUAAAAAAAGAAAAAGGAACUGACAUUUGGAUAUAACAACAGACACACAGAUCAGACCCUCCUGCUAUGGAUUGCCAGCAAAGAAGCAAAAGCAGUUACAGUGAUGCGGGGGAGGCCUGGGAAAAACCCUAACAAGCAAGAGAGGAUAAAAGAAGGUUCACUGUGAUCCCGUGAUAAUUAUUAAAUUGUGGUACGUAAAACGCCACUGCUUCUUUUAAUUUCGUGUUUAGUUUUAUUUCAGCAAAUAAAAAAUAUUCUCAAGAACUUUCUUAGGUUGUCCCUUUAGCGUACCCUCCUAAAUUCAGAUUGCUAUGAAUUUUUCUGCCAGUGGGGUGAUCAGAUACAGGACCUGGGCAGAACGGAAGAAUCGCUGUUAUUUCCGUCGUCAUGCACUCGCUGACUCACUGAACUUUACUGAUGUGCUAAGGUGGCCCAGGCUCUCUCUGUGAGGUCAUUUUGGCAUUUUAUUGAAUGCUGACUUGUGAGGUUCUCUUUUCCUGCACACAUGCCUGGCUUCUCCAAAGGACUUUAUUUUUAUGUACUUAUUUAUUUUUGGCUGCGCCACGGCUCGCAGCUUCUUAGUUUCCCGACCAGGGUCAGCAGUGAAAGCGCCGAGUCCUAGCCACUGGACCACCAGGGAAUUCCCCUCUACACGACUUUAAUCUCGCUAAAGGUAGGACUGUGUUGUGUAUUUUAUUUCCAUUGACAGCGUCUAGCACAGGUCUAGGUGUGUGAUGAGCACUCACAGAAGUCUUAAUUAUAAGAGAAACUUAGAGGGUCUUAACUCUGAUACUGUUGCUUUGGUCCAGGAUUGAAGGUGAGCCUUUGAAUCAGACUUUUUGCUUUUUAGGGAUGCUCCCCUACCGCUUGCUUCCAUACAGUUACAGAAGUGUCCAGAAAUCCUUCUAAGGAAGAAGAAGGUGUAGUGUUAUUAGACUGGAUGCUCAGGCAGUGGGACCUGAUACCCAUCCCACAGCACCCCUGAAUCCUUUCAACACCACGUGCUGGGGCUGCUGAGGCUUCGAGCCAGCCCUUCUGGGCCGCUGCCUGCUCAGGGUCUGCACGGAAGGUCGAAUUUGGAUCAGAGGACAGCCUCGGAGGGGAGCCCAUGUGACAGCUGGAAGCUCACCAGCAGGCAGAAGCCAAGCAAGUCAGGGAUUUUUCUUCUCUGAAGACAACAGUCCUGAUUCCUGUGACAUGAUACCUCAGUUGCAAGAACUGAGCAACUCUGUAUAUGAUCUACCUCUACAUCUAUGUAUAUGAGAUAAACUGAAGCCUACAGAAGUCUGACAGUGGCACGGGCUCCGGUCCUGGGCUGGGGCAGAGUCAUGGCCCCGCCGUGGCGGCGUCUUGACGGGUGGAGGCGCCUACAUGUCGUAGAGCCGGAGCUGGUCCUGCACGUCGCCGUCCGACAUCUCGCCAAACGUCUCCUUGUUGUCCUUCAUGAGCUUGAAGAUGGCAGCCAGCUGUUCUUUCUGAACUCUGUCAAGAAGAAAGGAUAAAGAGGAAAAAGAUGCUCCCAAACCAGGGGAGAGAGAGAGAGAGGCCAUGCACAUCCCGUGGAGUCGGGACACUCCUCACUCCGGUAUUACUGCUUUGCUUUCCAGAAUAAGAAGAAAAUGAAACUAAAACAAAACCCACUCUUAACACAGGAGCUGAUUUGGUCUAAAAAAACUUAACUUGAGACUUCUACAAACUGGGGUUCCAAGUCUUGGGUUUACCCUGGAGAUCUGGGGAUCCCAAGUUAUCAUUCAGGUUCUCGGUGCUACAGUUUCCCCGUGGGCCUCCCUUUUUUUUCGGUCGUGCCGCAUGGCCUGCAGGAUCUUAGUUCCCGGACCAGAGAUUGAACCCGGCUCCUCGGUAGUUGAGAGCUCGGAGUCCUAACCACUGGACCGCCGGGGAAUUCCCAGGCCUCUCUUUAAUGUUGACUACACACUUCCCCGGGAGGCCACGAGGAAGCAGAGGUGCUCCAUUAGGCGGCUAGAGAGCCUAUGAAGAGACAUGUUAGAAACAGCCUUCGUUUAGAGGGAUGAGCCAAAAGUGGAGGAGGAAGAAACACAGUUGGCUGGGAAACGGGAGCAUACAGAUGUGUGCACAGGUUGCUUGGCCCAGGGGCAAGGGUGGGUGUGGGGUCUCGCUGCCCAGAGGAAGGGGCGCCUCUUUCCAGUUUGCACAAAGACACCUUAUAGCCAGCAGGGGCCCUGGCCCUUUUACCAGGGAACAGGCCUGGCUGGAGAUCGGCCUUAUGUUCACCACACACGGGCUGGGGGGGCCGGGGGGAUGCUGGGAGUGAUGUUCUGUUCUCUCUCUGCAGCUGGGCCGCACCAUCUGAUCAGCACGGGACACCUCCCAUGAGUGCAAACAUGAAAGGGUGGGGUGAGACUCUGCAGCCACGGUUUGCUUCUUGUUGGUUCUGUUGUGCUGUGCUCAUCAGCGAGGCUGGGCGCUGUGUGCUGGCGUGGGCUCCCCGUUCGGUUUCAGGCUUCUGCGGUUCCCCCCCUCCACACCGCCCUACUGGCUCGGCACGGGCCACCUUCAGAGGACGUAAACCAAAUGGCAAGGUCUGCUCUGGUCCCUGCAGACCCACCAGGAGGCAGAGCUUCAGCACAGCCUCUGACCCCUGGCCCUGCAGGGCACAGCACUGUCCAACCAGCACCCCAACCCUGUCUACAGGGGGAUCCGAUCGAUGUCUGGUCUUACGCUUGUCCUAACAUAUUCCUUCUGCAAUAACCCCAUAUCUCCCAAACAGCUAACAGUUGGUUUUCUGACUACAGCAGCAUCUAGAAGCUGAAAUACCGAAGUCCCAAAUCCAAGCCUCUCUUAGUCACGCCGGGAAAGUUAUUUCUACAGUCUGCUUUCCUGUCCGGAGGAGAAGGAGCCUGUGAGAAGUACGCGAUACCCCACCACCUGAAGAAAGGAGUACUGUGAACUGACAGGCUGUGUGUUUAGCUCUUUGGAAGGAAUCACAAUCCAGGUGUAUGAGUGGACAUCCCCCCAAAGGAACACAAAUCCUCUUGUGCGUCUCUUAAUGGCCGUGGCGCUUGCAUAUUUUUAAGAGGGUGGGCCUAGGACUUCGCACUCUGCUGGAGAGUAACAGGCACAAAUUGACAGAGAGCUCAAAUUUUAAUGGGUUCAAAAAGAUGUUUUUUAAAAACAAAGCAAAACUGAAAUAAACACACAGUAAUCAAGACCAUCUACUCAAAGUUUAUUGGACCGAACAAAGGCUGAAUACACAGAUCCCAGCCAUCGGGAGUAUAUGAGCCUUGGCGCCUACAAGCCACGUUCAGAAAGUGUCCAGACAAACUUAAUAACCUGGAAGGAGUCACCUGUUUUUCAGUCAGACCCCGGCCUGGACAAGGCCAUUGCUGUUGCUACUGCUGUGUGGGUCAGGCUACAUGGCUCUGUGUGGCUGUUGCUUUGUUGCCUGUUCUGUCCUAAACCCGUGAACCUAAGGUAUUAGACCCAGAGGAGAAGGUCCCUGGGAAUGUACCAUGCCCUAGGCUGACAGUGGACAUUUCCCGGCCUUCCACUAAAUAGAGGAGAAAAAAAAUUUUUUCUAUCAACUUACUGCUUUCAAAAAAUGUUUUAACCAACACAUCUAAAAACUACAGAUUAGUUUGGUAUAGUAUAAAUAUUGUCAAAUAUAAAAUUCCAAGAAAUGAAUCUGGGACUGAUCUGAUUAUCUGGAGAAGUUCUAGCUCAUCUAUGAAACCUAGGAAAAGGCAGAAUCGAGACAGCUGUUUUAAGCGAACACUAUCAUUAUUGCUUCUGCGAAAGCGAAGGUGGACAUUCCGCUGAGCUGGUAGGAACAUCAAUGAAAAGGCCUCUUAGCAACAAGCGGGCUGGAUCCGAGCCUGCUCUCAACGGAGGGUAAGGGCAAGAGGAAGUCAACAGCUGGUUCUGGUUCUUUGCUGCCCACUGAUCAAUCAUUGGGCUCUCGCCCCCACAGCCGAGCCAGCCGAAGACAGGGGAGCGGGCCCCAAGGGGAAGGAGGGCAGUCGACCAGGCAGCGAGCACAGGCAGCGCUCCCUCAUUUGUCCAUCACACCUCAAAGUCUUUCCUGGUUUGGCUCUGGUGAUGAAAAGCAGGAGGGCUGGAAUGAAACUACACCGAUUUUAAAAUGAUGGCAUUGCUGACAUUGGUGAUAUCUCAGGUGCAGAGCGUGUGUGGGCAGGAAGGUUGAGUGAUAAGGAAAAUAAAAGUCCAGGAAAACCCUUCAGCUUAACAAAGCAAUCCAGGCAAACAGGGAGGAACGCCUCUACAGGGGAGCGCCACGGGCAUUCGGGAUCCUCCCAGCCAAGGAAAGUCCUGGAUGGGGGCCUAGUCCUGGCAGAUUUAUGUGGGAAAAUGCGCCCCAGGAGCCUGCUGGCUCCUCUCUGGGGAUUCCACUUUAUCUCUCAAGUUUUAAGAUGCCAAAAGGAAAAGCCUUUAGGAGGAGGCUAAGGAUAACUUCAUUAUUCCUCGGUUCUGUAAAGAGAAAUAAGGAGAAAAGAUAAUUUAUUUCACUCAUGCCAUCUUACAAGUACUGCAGGAAAGGGGGAAACGGGGUGAGGAAGGGGAACGUCUGGAAUUGCAGAAGCCAGCCCAGACGCUGGGAUCCAGACCCAGGGGAGUUUGCCUCUCAUCACCUGCUGCAGGAGAGCCCACUAACCGAAGCCAGCCCGAGACCCCGUUCCAAGUCUGCAAGGCCUGCAGGGGCAGGUCAGGGCCCACCUGUAGGUGGUUUAGCAGGUAGGGUGCCCUUGUAGGUAGUUGGUCGGGGAGCAGCCUCAAUAAGGUAGCUGGGCAGGUCAGGGCCCACCUGUACAUAGUUUAACAGGCAGGGUCCCCCUGGAGGUAGUUAGGCAGGGAGUGUCAGACUUUAGGUAGUUGGGCAGGUAGGGUCCCAGAGUAAAUACUUGGGCAGGGCACGUCUCUCAUUUAGGUAUCUGGGCAGUUCGGGUGCCCAUGCGGGUAGUUGAGCAGGUUGAAGCCCACUUGUAGGUGGUUGGCAGGGAGGGUCCCACUUACAGGUAUUUGGGCAGUUCGAGUCUCACAUGUGGGUGGUUAGGCAGGGAGGGUCCUCAAUUAGGUAGUUGGGCAGGGAGGGUCCCACAGUAGGUAGCUGGGCAGGGAGGGUACCACAUGUUGGUAUACGGGCAGUUUGGGUCCCACAUGUAGGUGGCUGAGCAAGUCGGGUCCCACACAUGGGUAGUUAGACAGGGAGCAUCCUCAGCUAGGUAGCUGGGCAGCUUGGGGCCCACUUGUGCAGUUUAACACGGAGGGUCCUCAAUUAGGUAGCUGGGCAGGGAGGGUCCCACAGGUGUGUUGUUGGGCACGGGGUCCACGUGUAGGUCGGUGGGCAGGUAGGGUGCCACAGAUACUCAGGUAGGUCAGACUGCGGGGGUCAGAUCCUCAGCUUUGUGGCCGCUCUGGGCUGGUCCUCUCUGGGCCGGUCCUCUCACCAUAGAUUAUUUUUUAUCCUUGCUGGGUAGGUUUUGUCCCUUCUGGGGACAGUGGCUUCCAAGGACAUGUGCUCCCCAGAUGACACAAAUGGUGUGCCCACCUUUUGCAAGGGACAUGCAGAAGCGCUGGUUUACCCAGGUGAGCGCUGAGGGAAACCGGUGCGAUUCAGUUUUAUCCCUCUGGCGCCCUCAUGUGGAGGUGAGUUAGCACGUGUUCCUAGAAAUUCACACUGGUGGAUGGUUUGUGGACCCAUCAGAGGGCAGAAAGCAGGAAGAAUAGCCAUUCACCCUUGCCAGUUAUGCAUUUCAAAACACCAUCCACUAGAGUGGUGUGCACUUCCAAAAACGGCAGGCCAGUCCUGGGGACCUUCAGAAUGGAAUGGGUGCUGGGGUCCUGGGUCCUCACUAUCAGAACCAACCUAGUCUACCUCCUGGGUUCCACUUUUCCCCUGGACCAGAAGAUGGGAAGAAGGGACGGUGUACAAGGAAAGGAGUAGCCCAUGGUGCCUCUUCUUUUUGCUGCCGAGCUAGAAGUCAGCCAAGCUCGCCAGCUUCACUGGCCCUGGGGUGAGGGGGUGGCACCUUGCCGCGGGGAGCAGUCAUAACCUGCAAGCCCAGUGUCCCAGCCACGCUGAGGCUGGAUAC